GUUUAAGGUCCUUCAAAUCCAGAUCAUGGAUAAUGUUUUUCUCCUUUCUCCCAUUUCCCCAGGCUGUGCAGUUUAUACAGCUCGGGAUUUCUAGUUAUCGAGGAUCCAGUCCUAUGUGGAUGAGGUCGUUAACUGAGCCCCUGGAAUUAUUCUUGCUUCAGGAUGAAAGGAACUGGACUUCUCAAGUAGAAGCACAGGAAAGAAGUGACUGGAGACACGCCUGAAUACACCUGGGACUCAGCCUUCAUAUCUGUCCAUGUCAAGAUAUGUCCAUGACGGGAAUGAUCUCCCUAGAUGUCACACUUUUGUGCAGUGUACAACCACAGCAUCCUUCCAUGGUGGGCCUGAAAAUGGUCCUCAUGAAUCUCAGCUAUGAUUCACGAUAGACAUUUUAUGGAAGAAAUGCCUUAAGAUGAAUGUAGAACCAGGGAAGGGCAUGAGAAAUUCUUUUUUUCAUGCUGCUGCUGUGCUAUUAUCAUCUAUAAGGUUAUUUUCUUUCUUCUCCACUAGAGAAUGAUAUACUCUUGUUUCCACUUACUCUAUUUUAUCUCCCUAGACCCAGGGCCUGGAGCUGUGCCAGCUCAUAAAUCCACUGAAUGAAAGAAAUUCAUGAAUCAUGAUAGAAAAAAUCAGGUUAAAAUAGUUACUUUGAAUGAAUACCAGGUGUUCUUUCUGACAAAAGUAUAUUUCCAUAGCUCCUACUCCACCUCUGUCCUAACCAGCAAAACACUAAAGCCUUGGUCAGUCUUUCAAGAGAACCUUAAGAAGGUAGGAAUCACAGAGUUGUCUCUGUAAGAGGAAAUGCCCUCUUCUUAAGUGACCACUUUAGAGGAUCCUUAAGUGGUUUCCAGUAAUAGAAGACAACGUUCACAGUUAAAUACAAGUCUCCAAAAUUGAUGGGUUGCUUCCGGGUAUAUUUGUUCGCCUGGAAGCAGUUUCACCAUAGUGGUUUGCAUUUCUAAUUGUUUAAUGGGGACUGUGUCCUUUAGAUCUAAAUGAAAAACUAGAAAAUAUCCAGGUCAUGUUGUUGGGCUUAGUGAAUGCAUAAUUAGGAUGUAAAUCAGCAUUUUAGAGCUGAUGACAGGUUUUUCUAGACAGGCAAGAUUAGAAGGCAUGAGGAAUUUGGAAUGCUUCCUUUUUGGCAAUACAAUUAUUUUUCUUUGGUUUGCCCUGCUCCCUGCCUACAUCCAAAUGUACAACUUCAUAUAGUCAAUAAAUAAAUAUUAUUUAUCUUACCUGCUUUCUGA
rnacentral:lncRNA from 1 species